UCUCCCUUUUAAUCUCUCUGAAGAAGGGGACAUAGGGUUUCCUGCCACAGCCGACCAUCUCCGACACUUCUCCCGUUCUCCGAUCAACCCGACGCCACCAUCUCCGGCACCGCUGACCACCUUACUCCUCUCAGUUCUCCGCUCAGCCCGACGCCACCAUCUCCGUCACUGCCGACCAUCUUCCUUCUCUCCGUUCUCUGUUCAACCCGACGCCACCAUCUCCGACACCGCGAGCCUACGCCGGCCACUGCACCGCUCUUCCAUAUCCAUUCUCCUUGGAACUGAGCCCUCCCUCAUUUGCUCGGUUACUUGAAACUUCCGUCCCUUUUUUCUUAUUUUGUGACAAAUGGAGGCAUGUCUAGAAGAUGUGGUAGAAUCUGGGACCUUGAAGCUUGAACAAGAUUUAUGCAGCAUGAAAGGUGGGGGUGAUAGCAAUGCAAUCAUCUUACCAGAAAAGAAGAGAAAUAGAAAGAAAGAUAAGACUCAGGUGCACGAGCAGCUUCAGACAAAGAAAAGUCCAAAGUUGAGCAAUUCCCAGAAGAGAAAGCUAAAGAAGAUACAGGAGGAAAAGGAGAAAGAAGUGCUCUUAUCAAAAAGCAUUGAAACCUUGGAGAAACACCGACUUUCUGAGGAUGUAUACUCACUGAUGUGGUCUUCACGAAACAUCGGUCAGGUUGAAACUGUGCGUGAAAGACGUAGAAGGGCAGUGCAGUUUUCCAAGGCAGGCUUAGUGAUGCCCCAGAUUGAUCAACCUUCCAACACUGCAGGCAGUCAUUUGUGUGAAAUUGAACCUAAUUCUGACAAAAGCCAGUCGAGGCAAUGUGUUGAUGAGGAUGACUUUUAUCAUGUGACACUUGACAGAGAAGUCUUAUCCAAAGGUUCUACUUCUUUUGAAUCUGCCAUUGGUUCUGCUUGUAGCAGUGAAUCUAGGGCGGUUGCUAAAUCUGUUGCAACAUUGCUUGUUAACAAAGUGGAUGAGAUAAUGGAUGCUCACAUGCGUGAAGAUGCUCAAGAUUCUUUGUGCACAUUGUCAGACUAUGAUAGGAUAGAGACUGACAGGGCAAUGGACUGCGCAGAUAAGAGCCCAAAAAUGCAUAUCAGCACUACAAGCGAUCGGGCAGUUGGCCAUCCACAAAGAGUUGCAGAUGCUGCAACUGUAGUGCAUGUAUCAAGACCAAAAGAUAUUGAGAAGAAUAGGAAGGAUCUUCCCAUAGUCAUGAUGGAGCAGGAGAUAAUGGAAGCUAUUAGUGAAAACGUUACUGUCAUUCUAUGUGGGGAAACUGGCUGUGGUAAGACCACUCAAGUUCCACAGUUUCUAUACGAAGCGGGUUUUGGCUCGGACAAGUCCUGCACUCGGAGUGGCAUAAUUGGUGUUACUCAACCACGUCGUGUUGCAGUCCUUGCAACUGCCAAGAGGGUGGCAUUUGAGCUCGGUCUUCAUCUAGGCAAGGAGGUUGGCUUUCAAGUUAGGCAUGACCGAAGGAUUGGAGACAGUUGCUCUAUCAAGUUCAUGACUGAUGGUAUUUUGCUGCGAGAAGUGCAGAGUGAUUUCUUAUUAAGGAAAUAUUCAAUCAUAAUUUUGGAUGAGGCUCAUGAGAGGAGCUUGAACACUGACAUACUUAUUGGAAUGCUUUCCCGUGUUAUACAACAGCGCCAGAUAAUAUACGAGGAGCAGCAGCGUGAUAUUCUUUCAGGGAAAAAAAUCAGCCCUGAAAACAUGGUCUUCGCUCUAAAACUGGUACUGAUGAGUGCUACCUUAAGAGUUGAAGACUUUGUUUCUGGAAGGAGGAUUUUUCGUGAUCCACCACCUGUAAUAGAAGUGCCAACUCGACAGUAUCCUGUAACUAUACACUUCUCUAAGCGAACAGAGAUUGUGGACUAUAUUGGCCAUGCCUAUAUGAAGGUCUUGGCAAUUCACAAGAGAUUGCCACCUGGUGGCAUACUAGUCUUUGUCACAGGUCAGAGAGAAGUUGAAUACCUGUGCCGGAAGCUGCGUAAUGCCUCAAAGGAGAUAGUUGAGAAGGGUGGGAGACGAAAUCUGGACAAUGAUGUUUCUACAUCAUCUGGAGGGAAUGCCACUGAGGAAUGUGACAUGAAGGAGAUCAAUGAAGCAUUUGAGAUGCAUGGAAACUCACACCAUGAUCAAACUGAUAGGUUUACUUCUUAUGAUGAAGAUCAUGGUGAUUUAGAUGAUGAGUCGUCAGAUUUUUCUGAUGAUUUGGGGACAGAGAGUGAUCUCGAAGAAUUCAAAGAUGAUAGGGGUUUACUGGGCUGUAAAACUGGGUUUGACUCUGAUCAUUUGGAAAUCUUAGGGGAGGAUGGGAGCCUUGCUUCACUAAAGGCUGCUUUUGAUGCUUUAUCUGGGAAAACUACCUCAAAUCCUGGUUUUCAUGAUAAACAGCUCGUUUCUUCUACUCCAAAUGGAAGGUCACAACAAUUCACUACUUGCCCAGAGGAGAAGAAGGGUGGAGUAAAUGGUCUACAUGUUGGUGCAAUGUGUGUUCUGCCGCUUUAUGCCAUGCUUCCUGCAUCAGCACAGCUUCGUGUGUUUGAAGAGAUUAAGGAAGGAGAACGCCUAGUUGUUGUUGCUACUAAUGUGGCUGAAACCUCUUUAACUAUACCAGGUAUUAAGUAUGUGGUUGAUACUGGAAGAGAAAAAGUCAAGAACUAUAACUUAUCCAAUGGCAUGGAAACAUAUGAAGUCCAAUGGAUAAGCAAAGCAUCUGCUGCUCAACGUGCAGGAAGAGCUGGAAGAACAGGGCCUGGCCAUUGUUAUCGCCUCUAUUCUUCAGCAGUCUUUAACAACAUUUUUCUUGACUUCUCUACUGCUGAGAUAUCAAAAAUACCUGUUGAUGGUGUUGUCCUCCUCAUGAAAUCCAUGGGCAUUGAUAAGGUUUCAAAUUUCCCAUUUCCUACCCCUCCGGAGGCUACAGCAUUGAUUGAGGCAGAGCGUUGCUUAAAGGUGCUUGAAGCACUUGAUGGCAAUGGGAGAUUGACACCCCUGGGAAAGGCUAUGGCACAGUAUCCCAUGAGCCCUCGCCACUCUCGGAUGCUCCUUACAGUUAUCCAAAUAAUGAAAAAGGUAAAAAAUUAUGCACGUGGGAAUCUUGUUUUGGGAUACACACUGGCCACAGCUGCAGCAUUGAGCUUGUCAAAUCCUUUUGUAAUGCGAUUUGAGGGAAGUCAUGCAGAUACUGGUGGCUUGACGCUGGAUAAUGAGUCUGGCUCCAUAGAUAGCAAGAAAAGCACAGACAAGGAAGAAAAAAUGAGGAGGAAAAAGCUAAAAAAAUCUGCUAAAGAGUCUCGUGCAAAGUUUUCCAACCCCAGCAGUGAUGCUUUGACCAUAGCUUAUGCUUUGCAGUGCUUUGAAGUUUCUGGAAACCCAGUUGAAUUCUGCAAAGACAAUGCAUUGCACCUGAAAACCAUGGAGGAAAUGUCCAAGCUGAGGAAGCAGCUACUUCAACUAGUUUUGAACCAAAGUUUUUGUGGUCUUCAGCAGGAGUUCUCAUGGACAUACGGAACCAUGGAGGAUGUGGAACAGGCAUGGAGGGUUUCCUACAAUAAGUGUCCUCUGCUAAUGAAUGAGGAGGAGCUCUUGGGCCAAGCUAUAUUUGCUGGAUGGGCUGAUAGAGUUGCCAGACGCACAAGGGUAUCUGCUUCAGAAGGAGACAGAAGAGUUAGUGCCACUCGCUAUCAGGCUUGCAUGGUUAAAGAACCAGUCUUUCUCCAUCGAUGGUCAUCUGUCUCUAAGUCUGCCCCUGAGUUUUUGGUGUACAGUGAACUGCUACAUACAAAACGACCAUACAUACAUGGAGCAACUAGUGUGAAGUCGGAUUGGCUUGUUAAGUAUGCUGGGUCUUUGUGCAGUUUCUCUCCUCCCCUUACUGAUCCUAGGCCUUAUUAUGAUCCUGUGGCAGACCAAGUUUUCUGUUGGGUGAUUCCAACUUUUGGCCCACAUCUAUGGCAGCUUCCACUCCAUGGAGCUCCCAUCAAGGAUGACAUUCAUAGAGUGGCUGUAUUUGCUUUUUCUUUGCUUGAAGGCCAAGUGUUACCAUGCUUACGAUCUGUUAGGAGGUUUAUGGCAGCCUCACCUGGCAGCAUUUUGAGGCCAGAAGCAUCAGGACAUCGAAGGGUUGGGAAUCUUCUAAAUAAAUUAAAGACCAGGCUGAGAAUUAUUGACAGCUGUGCUGCACUAAGAGAGACCUGGAAUGAGAAUCCCAGAGACCUGCAUGCGGAAAUCCUGGACUGGUUUCAGGAGGGUUUUAGCGAUCAAUUUGAAAAUCUUUGGUUGCAAAUGCUUCAUGAGGUUUUUUUAGACCCCAAAGAACGUUUUCCCAAUAGGAUGAAGAGAAAGAAAAGACAGACAUAAAUCUCCAAAGUGAAAAAUGAUAAAAAGCUUGAACUUCAAUCUGUGGACUUUUGUCUUGGUAUACAUCAUAUAUAUGGUUCAUAGAUAUUCAAAAAAGGAAUCAAGGUCCAGAUAUUUGCAGUUCUGUGUAUUACCAGUCUAUAUUUCAGUUGUAGGAAGCAGUAAGAUAAACAAAAUGCAUAUAUCUGUUCCAGCCUAACAAAUAGUUGAAAUACACUGGAAGCCCAACCUUCACCAGCCAAGAAUGAUUAGAACCUGAGGAAUUCUGGCCAUAACCUUUUCUGGAAAAAUUUGCUUUACCUUACAUUUGGAGAAAGAGAACCAACCUACUAGUUCCUCCAGCUUCUGGUAAUGGAAUUACAUGACCCCAGCAGCUAGACAGGAAGAUGGUUCUCAUGCAUGACUCUUGAAUUAGCAUUGUGAUGGCUCGAUUCAUUCAUAUGCCUUUUAAGUUCUGGCCUGGCUUGACCUUGUAGAGGAUAAGUGAUCCACUUAGGGUUGCUUUUUUUCUUGGCUCACCAGAAAGGAUUCAAACUUCGCCGAGACGGGUCUCAAUCAUCUAGCCUCCUCGUAGAUUGUGUUGCUGUUAAGUCUUGUUUUAUGAAGUUUCUAUGACUUGGAUAAUCAAAAAGGCGAAAGAAGUACGCUCCUUGUUUGAUUGAAAGCUCCAGAGUGAAGGAAGAAACUCUAGCACAGUUUUUUUUCUUCUCCCAGCAUACCGAAGAAUGCUCAGGAAAGCGCAAGCACCGACUGUGAAUACAAAAACUCUGGAAGCAACGGUAGGUAGCCAACUGUUCAGUUAUAAGGAGAAUUUUAAUGUGUGCAAAAGCACCCCAGCUGUGCUUAUUUAAUUCUGGAGUUGGAUUGCAUUUCCAACUUCCAAGAACGUCUUUUUUGGUUUUAGGAUGGUUGACCUAUUAAAAUAGAUGUACAACAGGCAUAUUCUAGUAAGAAUUCAGUUUUUAUUAUAUAUAUAUAUAAUCUGUUGCAUAA